rnacentral:lncRNA from 1 species
CAAACGGGGAUGAAGAAGUGCGGGGGGGUGGGGCGGGGGAGGCGUGGGAUAGCUGUCUCCCACUUCUCCUGAACUAAUUGCGUUUCUGCGAGCAAAUUGAGUUCCAGAGAGAGAAAAGGCCAGGGGCUUUUCAUAAUUGUAUCGACAAGAAAAUGAAUAUGAUGAAUGGCAUUCAUUCAGCACGCUUUAGAUUUAUCGUCUUACCUCCAGGCCUUAAUCGAGAAGCGAGAGAGAAUAAGACAAGAGAAAAAAAAAAGGAGCACAGCAGCAGACUCCAUGGCGUGAUGUCCACAGCGCAGAUCUCCAGUCCCUCUCAAACUCAAGACCCGUGUGACUUCAUCUUACUCAGAUGCGUGGAAGGAAGCCAAGCAUUCAACCAUCAGCCCAACUCUACUGGCCCUGCAUGAGACAGUCCAAAACAGUCCUUCCACUUCAGCUGACUACCACCACUUUGCCUGUGCAUCCUCUUAUACUGCAAAAGUGGGAUAAUACAAGUCUCUUGGUGGAGCCUUAAAUGUCAGAGCUGAACAAAGAUCACACUGUGAAUCUACGAUACCCAAUGGAACCAGGGACAGCAGGACUGAUUUUCUGCUCAAAAGGUUGCUGGUUUGCUGAACUGUCUUCACACACUCAAAAAAGUGUGAAAAUGCAGUCAAGACAACGGUGUUUUCAAUGAGUGGAUGCAAUCAAUUUUUCAUUGAUUGUUCGCUGAAACCCAGAGUUGAUCCUGAAUGUAUGCUGAAAGUUAUGGACGAAGAUUGGGGAAUUUAUGCCCAAGGUUUAAGUUUUUCAUACGGUCUCUCACUUUUUCCAAGAUAGGUGGCUGUUGGUGAAAGUAACUUGCCGGUGCAACCUACAGCUGGGCCACGGGUGCAAAUGGGCCUGCCCUGGUGGCUGCCGUGCUUGCGGCUCCGACUCCCAAAACACAGGAAGGCUUUAUGAUCUCCCUGAGGCAGAUCCUAUUUCACCCUUUGUUCUCUGAGUAUUCCCAAUGAGCAUGUUACCAUGAAGCAUUGCCCAUUGUCUUAAACAGCUGUCAGAAGCAUGGCAGUUAUUCAUUGUGAAGCACACACCCCUCCCUUCCAUACCCGGGGAAGUGUUUUGCUGUUACAGUUUUUGAGAUUAUCCCAGCGAGAGGCCUAUAAUCAACUCCCGGACGCAUUUAUUUACUGCAUCAGGUUCCUACCCUGCGUCACAGUAACCCGUGUCUACUCUUUCUUUACCAGAUGUAUCAACUGAACAAAGAGCACAAUCUCCACACUCAUGUCCAGCCUCAAGGUCACCGUCAACAUUCAAAAUUUCAUAAGAAUGAACUUUAUUGCCCUUCUCUGGAAUUUGUUUAAUAUCCGUGUGUGUGAUCAAGUUCACAAGAAAAAGAGCUUUACAGUUAUGUUCUGAGCAGUGUUA